rnacentral:rRNA from 1 species
AUUGAACGCUGGCGGCAGGCCUAACACAUGCAAGUCGAACGAGUGGCGGACGGGUGAGUAAUGUCUGGGAAACUGCCCGAUGGAGGGGGGUAACUACUGGAAACGGUAGCUAAUACCGCAUACCAUCGGAUGUUCCCAGAUGGGAUUAGCUAGUAGGUGGGGUAACGGCUCACCUAGGCGCCGAUCCCUAGCUGGUCUGAGAGGAUGACCAGCAACACUGGAACGGAGACACGGUCCAGCUUCCUACGGGAGGAAACAGUGGGGAAUAUUGCACAAGGGGCGCAAGCCUGAUGCAGCCAUGCCGCGUGUAUGAAGAAGGCCUUCGGGUUGUAAAGUACUUUCAGCGAGGAGGCGUUACUCGCAGAAGAAGCACCGGCUAACUCCGUGCCAGCAGCCGCGGUAAUUC